GACAACAUAGGACUUGAGAUUAGCAGGACAAGAAAAGAAAGGAAUGUGACAAUCACAAAGGAAAGCAGAACUGGAGAGGGGAAGAUAGUUUUCCAAACUUCUGGAAUGUGAAAUGCAAGUUGGGUAGUGGCAAGAGAGAAACUAGAACACAGGCAGAAGACAGGAAGAUACAUUACUGUAAUAAUCUAAGUGAAAAUAAUAAACAAGGGUGAGUGGUGCAGUUGAAAGAGGAGGAAGCAGACCAAAAGCAAGGAAGGAGGUAGAGUCCUGGACCUUGGUGACUAACUGGAUGUGGUGGGGAGAGAUGAAUAGUGGCUGUUUCCUCUGGAGGGACACAAAAAAAGGAGCACAUUCCGGGGAUGAGGUGAGAGUUCAGUUUUAGAUAUGCU
rnacentral:lncRNA from 1 species